GGAGGCGCCCAAAGGUUCCCUCAGAAUGGUUGGAAAUCAUUCGUAGAGUGCAAAGGCAUAAGGGAGCUUGACUGCGAGACCUACAAGUCGAGCAGGGACGAAAGUCGGGCUUAGUGAUCCGGUGGUUCCGCAUGGAAGGGCCAUCGCUCAACGGAUAAAAGCUACCCCGGGGAUAACAGGCUUAUCUCCCCCAAGAGUCCACAUCGACGGGGAGGUUUGGCACCUCGAUGUCGGCUCAUCGCAUCCUGGGGCUGUAGUCGGUCCCAAGGGUUGGGCUGUUCGCCCAUUAAAGCGGUACGCGAGCUGGGUUCAGAACGUCGUGAGACAGUUCGGUCCCUAUCCGUCGUGGGCGUAGGAAAUUUGAGAGGAGCUGUCCUUAGUACGAGAGGACCGGGAUGGACGCACCGCUGGUGUACCAGUUGUUCUGCCAAGGGCAUAGCUGGGUAGCUAUGUGCGGAAGGGAUAAGUGCUGAAAGCAUCUAAGCAUGAAGCCCCCCUCAAGAUGAGAUUUCCCAUAGCGUAAGCUAGUAAGAUCCCUGAAAGAUGAUCAGGUUGAUAGGUUCGAGGUGGAAGCAUGGUGACAUGUGGAGCUGACGAAUACUAAUAGAUCGAGGACUUAACCAUAUAA
rnacentral:rRNA from 4 species